UACGUAGGUGACAAGCGUUGUCCGGAAUUACUGGGCGUAAAGCGCGUGUAGGCGGCUAUGCAAGUCGGAUGUGAAAGCCCUCGGCUCAACCGGGGAAGUGCACCCGAAACUGCAAAGCUAGAGUCUCGGAGAGGAUCGUGGAAUUCUCGGUGUAGAGGUGAAAUUCGUAGAUAUCGAGAGGAACACCGGUGGCGAAGGCGGCGAUCUGGACGAUGACUGACGCUGAGACGCGAAAGCGUGGGGAGCAAACGGG
rnacentral:rRNA from 1 species